UCUCUCUGAAUCUGCGAACGGCUCCGCAAACCAGUUGUAAACAUUGGCUAGUCCAGCACGUAGUCGGGCCUUUCGGGGACCGGCUGCGGGCACAUACAUGGAUAACCCUGGUAAUUCUGAGGCUAAUACAUGACCACAAAACCUUGCUGGCGGCUUCUGGUGCUUUCGGGCGCCGGUUGUUGCCAGCAGGGGGCGUGCAAAAAAGCUUGGGAAUGACGGGAAAGAAUGCACGCUCGGACCACCAUCACAAGGCAUCGCGUGGGGAUAGCGCAGCUUGCUGCGUUAUUCCCUGCUUUGCCGGUGGCUCUAGCAGCGUGCUUCUGACCUAUCAACUAGACGGCAGCGUAUGGGACAUGCCAUGGUGACAACGGGUACAGAGGAUCAGGGUUCGAUCCUGGAGAGUGGGCCUGAGAAAUU
rnacentral:rRNA from 1 species